CAGGACGAACGCUGGCGGCGUGCCUAAUACAUGCAAGUCGAACGGUCUUUUCUAUGGAAGCUUGCUUCCACUGAAAAGAUAGUGGCGAACGGGUGAGUAACACGUGGGUAACCUGCCCAUAAGAGGGGGAUAACAUCCGGAAACGGGUGCUAAUACCGCAUAGUUUUCUUGAUCGCAUGAUCGGGAAAGGAAAGACGGCCUUUGUGCUGUCGCUUAUGGAUGGACCCGCGGCGUAUUAGUUAGUUGGUGAGGUAACGGCUCACCAAGACGAUGAUACGUAGCCGACCUGAGAGGGUGAUCGGCCACAUUGGGACUGAGACACGGCCCAAACUCCUACGGGAGGCAGCAGUAGGGAAUCUUCCGCAAUGGACGAAAGUCUGACGGAGCAACGCCGCGUGAGUGAAGAAAGGUUUUCGGAUCGUAAAACUCUGUUGUCAGAGAAGAACAAGUUGGAGAGUAACUGCUCCGGCCUUGACGGUAUCUGACCAGAAAGCCACGGCUAACUACGUGCCAGCAGCUGC
rnacentral:rRNA from 1 species